AAGACUAUACUUUCAGGGGUCAUUUCUAUAGUUUUUUACAGAGGAAUUUCUCUGAACAUUUUGAGUACCAAAAGCCAUGAGUAAGAGUUGUAGUGUUGCCUCCUGAGGUUGGCUUUUGUUUUUUUGUGGCAACUGCCAUUUGUCAUUGAUGACUGUUCUUAUCUCUUCUUUGGAUGGGGCACAGGGAGAGAAGACAAUCUGAGUGGG